UACGUAGGGUGCGAGCGUUGUCCGGAAUUAUUGGGCGUAAAGGGCUCGUAGGCGGUUUGUCGCGUCGGGAGUGAAAUCCACUGGCUUAACUGGUGGCUUGCUUUCGAUACGGGCAGACUAGAGUGUGGUAGGGGAGACUGGAAUUCCUGGUGUAGCGGUGAAAUGCGCAGAUAUCAGGAGGAACACCGGUGGCGAAGGCGCCACUCUGGGCCGAAACUGACGCUGAGGAGCGAAAGCGUGGGUAGCAAACAGG
rnacentral:rRNA from 1 species